rnacentral:snoRNA from 1 species
GUGCAGUGAUCCCUAAGAAGUUAAGUGCUGCUCUGUCGUUCCCCCUGCACACAUCAACUAGUUUCCUACUGUCCCUGUCUGUCUGCAUCCCACGGCUGGCCGGGACGCUUGGUCUCAGACAA